rnacentral:rRNA from 1 species
UUGAACGCUGGCGGCAGGCCUAACACAUGCAAGUCGAGCGGAUGAAGGGAGCUUGCUCCUGGAUUCAGCGGCGGACGGGUGAGUAAUGCCUAGGAAUCUGCCUGGUAGUGGGGGAUAACGUCCGGAAACGGGCGCUAAUACCGCAUACGUCCUGAGGGAGAAAGUGGGGGAUCUUCGGACCUCACGCUAUCAGAUGAGCCUAGGUCGGAUUAGCUAGUUGGUGGGGUAAAGGCCUACCAAGGCGACGAUCCGUAACUGGUCUGAGAGGAUGAUCAGUCACACUGGGACUGAGACACGGUCCAGACUCCUACGGGAGGCAGCAGUGGGGAAUAUUGGACAAUGGGCGAAAGCCUGAUCCAGCCAUGCCGCGUGUGUGAAGAAGGUCUUCGGAUUGUAAAGCACUUUAAGUUGGGAGGAAGGGCAGUAAGUUAAUACCUUGCUGUUUUGACGUUACCAACAGAAUAAGCACCGGCUAACUUCGUG